AUUGAACGCUGGCGGCAGGCCUAACACAUGCAAGUCGAGCGGAGCGGCGGACGGGUGAGUAAUGCCUAGGAAUCUGCCUGGUAGUGGGGGAUAACGUCCGGAAACGGGCGCUAAUACCGCAUACUAUCAGAUGAGCCUAGGUCGGAUUAGCUAGUUGGUGGGGUAAAGGCCUACCAAGGCGACGAGCCGUAACUGGUCUGAGAGGAUGAUCAGUCACAUUGGAACUGAGACACGUUCAAGCUCCCUAGGGGAGGAAGCAGUGGGGAUUAUUGGACAAUGGGCGAAGGCCGGAUCCAGCCAUGCCGCGUGUGGGAAGAAGGUUUUGGGAUUGUAAGCACUUUAAGUUGGGAGGCGUUACCAACAGAAUAAGCACCGGCUAACUUCGUGCCAGCAGCCGCGGUAAUAC
rnacentral:rRNA from 1 species